UGCAAGUCGAGCGAGGGCUCACUUCCCGCAAGGGAGGUGAGUUCCUAGCGGCGAACGGGUGAGUAGCACGUGGGCAACCUGUCCUCUCGUGGGGAUAACACCGAGAAAUCGGUGCUAAUACCGCAUGUCAUCGCUGACGGCAUCGUCGGUGAGAAAAGCAGCAAUGCGCGAGAGGGUGGGCCCGCGGCCUAUCAGCUAGUCGGUGGGGUAACGGCCUACCGAGGCUUUGACGGGUAGCUGGUCUGAGAGGACGACCAGCCACACGGGGACUGAGACACGGCCCCGACUCCUACGGGAGGCAGCAGUGAGGAAUCUUCCGCAAUGGGCGAAAGCCUGACGGAGCGACGCCGCGUGUGGGAUGAAGUCUUUCGGGAUGUAAACCACUGUCGGAGGGGGAGAGAACGGACGGUACCCUCCAAGAAAGCCCCGGCUAACUACGUGCCAGCAGCCGCGGUAAUACGUAGGGGGCAAGCGUUACUCGGAUUCACUGGGCGUAAAGCGCGUGUAGGCGGCUGGUCAAGCGUGAUGUGAAAUCUCCGGGCUCAACCCGGAAACUGCAUUGCGAACUGGCCUGGCUAGAGUGCAGGAGAGGGCAGCGGAAUUCCCGGUGUAGCGGUGAAAUGCGUAGAUAUCGGGAGGAACACCAGUGGCGAAGGCGGCUGCCUGGCCUGUAACUGACGCUGAGACGCGAAAGCGUGGGGAGCGAACCGGAUUAGAUACCCGGGUAGUCCACGCCCUAAACGUUGCGAACUAGUGUUGGCGAGAUUGACCUCGUCAGUGCCGCAGCUAACGCAUUAAGUUCGCCGCCUGGGAAGUACGGUCGCAAGAUAAAACUCAAAGGAAUCGGGGGCCCGCACAAGCAGCGGACGUGUGUUUAAUUCAUGCAACGCGAAGAGCCUUACCUGGGCUUGAC
rnacentral:rRNA from 1 species